rnacentral:rRNA from 1 species
AACGAACGCUGGCGGCAGGCUUAACACAUGCAAGCCGAACGGGUGUAGCAAUACAUCAGUGGCAGACGGGUGAGUAACACGUGGGAACCUUCCUAGGGGUACGGAACAACUCAGGGAAACUUGAGCUAAUACCGUAUACGUCCGUGAGGAGAAAGAUUUAUCGCCCUUAGACGGGCCCGCGUCGGAUUAGCUAGUUGGUGGGGUAACGGCCUACCAAGGCGACGAUCCGUAGCUGAUCUUAGAGGAUGAUCAGCCACACUGGGACUGAGACACGGCCCAGACUCCUACGGGAGGCAGCAGUGGGGAAUCUUGGACAAUGGGCGCAAGCCUGAUCCAGCCAUGCCGCGUGAGUGAAGAAGGUCUUCGGAUUGUAAAGCUCUUUUGCCAGGGACGAUAAUGACGGUACCUGGAGAAUAAGCCCCGGCAAACUUCGUGCCAGCAGCCGCCGCGGUAA